UAUGUGAUCGUCUCUCGCAUAUCAAUAAGCGGAGGAAAAGCAUAACAUGUAUACCUACGCUUAGGAUGUUGACGAGACUGUCGAUCUCAUCUAUACAUGACUCUGCGCAUAUCAAUAAGCGGAGGAAAAGAGGUGACCUACCUACGCUUAGGAUGUUGACGAGACUGUCGAUCUCAUCUAUACAUGACUCUGUGCAUAUCAAUAAGCGGAGGAAAAGAAACUAACAAGGAUUCCCCUAGUAACGGCGAGUGAAGCGGGAAGAGCUCAAAUUUGAAAUCUUAAAGGGUUUCCCUUUACGAAUCGUAGUUUAAAGAAGUGUUUUCUGUUGAGGUUUUGGUAAAAGUUCUUUGGAAUAGGACAUCAUAGAGGGUGAGAAUCCCGUAUUUGACCUUUACUUUCAACUUUGUGAUACACUUUCAAAGAGUCGGAUUGUUUGGGAAUGCAGUCCAAAAUGGGUGGUAAAUUUCAUCUAAAGCUAAAUAUUGGCGAGAGACCGAUAGCGAACAAGUACCGUGAGGGAAAGAUGAAAAGAACUUUGAAAAGAGAGUUAAACAGUACGUGAAAUUGUCAAAAGGGAAGCGUUUGACACCAGUGUUGUUUUUCUGAAAAUCGAUUAAAGAACUGUUUAUGCUAAGCUGUUUAGACUUUAUCAGCUAUCUGUUUAGUUUUAGGCUUUUCUUUAAUGCACUUUUCAGUUAACAAGUCAACAUCAAUUUCUUUUGCUGUAAAAAAGCUUGAGGAAGGUGGCUUGAGAUUCGUCUUAAGUGUUUAUAGCCUCUUGCCUAUGCAGUCGGAGAGAUUGAGGUCUGCAGCGUAGAUCCUUCGGGGCUAAAUGCAUUUGUGCUAAGUUAUAGCAUUUUACAGACAACUUGUUGACUAUGAUUUGUCUUGUAGCUUACUCGCUUAUGUUAUUUUACCUACGCUUAGGAUGUUGACGAGACUGUCGAUCUCAUCUAUACAUGACUCUGCGCAUAUCAAUAAGCGGAGGAAAAGAGGGCUAUUACCUACGCUUAGGAUGUUGAAGAUGUAGCACAUCAUACACGCAUGACACACUGCAUAUCAAUAAGCGGAGGAAAAGAGGGCUAUUACCUACGCUUAGGAUGUUGACGAGACUGUCGAUCUCAUCUAUACAUGACUCUGCGCAUAUCAAUAAGCGGAGGAAAAGCAUAACAUGUAUACCUACGCUUAGGAUGUUGAUCUACAGAGCGAGAGU
rnacentral:rRNA from 1 species